rnacentral:rRNA from 1 species
GACGAACGCUGGCGGCGUGCCUAACACAUGCAAGUCGAGCGGGGUUGAAGCGAGAGGUAACUCGAGCUUCUACCUAGCGGCGGACGGGUGAGUAACGCGUGGGCAACCUGCCUCAAGGUUUGGGAUAACAGCCCGAAAGGGCUGCUAAUACCGGAUAUGCCUAUGGCCUCGCAUGGGGCUAUGAGCAAAGGGGAAACCCGCCUUGAGAUGGGCCCGCGUCCCAUCAGCUAGUUGGUGAGGUAACAGCUCACCAAGGCGACGACGGGUAGCCGGCCUGAGAGGGUGACCGGCCACACUGGGACUGAGACACGGCCCAGACUCCUACGGGGGGCAGCAGUGGGGGAUCUUGCACAAUGGGCGAAAGCCUGAUGCAGCGACGCCGCGUGAGCGAAGAAGGCCUUCGGGUUGUAAAGCUCUGUCUGGAGGGACGAAGGAAGUGACGGUACCUCCGGAGGAAGCCACGGCUAACUACGUG